UUGCAGUGUUUAUUUAGCAAAUAAUUACAGUUUGCUUUGGUAUAUUGUUUCUAAUGUAAUGGCAUCACAAAGAAAUAUUUAUUUUACUUUUACAUUUAUGCGUUUGACAGGUGCUUUUAUCCAAAGAAGCUCGCAUUGCAUUAAGAUAUUUGUUUUCAGUUCAUUCAAAUCCUGUUUGUGUCCCAUGUGAGUGUGCAGUAUCUCAGGAUCUGAUGCCGUGAGCUCUGUUCUGGACAGCAGAAGGUUUUGUGGCCCCGUAAGGUUCUGGCUCUCGGCCCGCCGUGGGUUCCUGUGGUCCGGUGCCAAGUGUCCAUCUUACCCAGUUUGAAGCCUGUUGUUGCCUUAUGCUGAACUUUCCUUGUAUGGACACUCUUCAAUUUCCUAUGGAAGCUUGUUUCUGCCACAAAAUGUGAAAAAAAAAGAUCUUGUAUCUAUAAUGCAUUUACAUUUUUUUUUUUUUUUUUUUUUUUGUAAAAAAAGUAACUUACAAAGAUUAUUGGAGUAUGUUUUAUGAGAAAAUACUAUUUCAGACGUUCUACAUAAACAUCUUCAACAUUCAGCAACAGCAGAGUGUUUGGCGUUCUGGAGUGGCUUCAUUGAGCUUCAGUGGCUUCAUCUUCAGCAGAGCCAGAUGGCCUGUUCUCAAGGAUUAGAUUUAGUGUUUGUGUGCUGUUUCAUGUUUUGAGAGAGAAAUGCCAACAGUUCUGUUGCUCAGAACAAAAGACUUUUUGCUUUUAUUGGUUUAUCUUUCAUAUUCUAUUGUCAUUUUAUCUUCAAAUCCUCUCACUAUACUAAUGUUAUUUGUUUAAACCAUAAACUCAGCAUAAACUCAGGAUUGUGAGAUAUAAACUCAGAUUUACGAUAUAAACCCAGAAUUAUGAGAUAUAAACUCAGAAUUAUGAGAUAUAAACACAGAAUUAUGAAAUAUAUACUCAGAAUUAUGAGAUAUAAACUCAGAUUUAUGAGAUAUAUAGUCAGAAAAAACUCAGGAUAAUGAAAUAUAAACUCAGAUUUAUGAGAUAUAAACUCAGUAUUACGAUAUAUAAACUCAGAAUUAUGAGCUAUAUAGUCAGAAAAAACUCAGGAUAAUGAAAUAUAAACUCAGAUUUAUGAGAUAUAAACUCAGAUUUAUGAGAUAUAUAGUCAGAUAAAACUCAGGAUAAUGAAAUAUAAACUCAGAUUUAUGAGAUAUAAACUCAGAAUUAUGAGAUAUAAACUCAGAAUUAUGAGAUAUAAACUCAGAUUUAUGAUAUAAACCCAGAAUUAUGAGAUAUAAACUCAGAUUUAUGAGAUAUAAACUCAGAUUUAUGAGAUAUAUAGUCAGAAAUACUCAGGAUAAUGAAAUAUAAACUCAGAUUUAUUAGAUAUAAACUCAAAUUUAUGAGAUAUAAACUAAGAAUUAUGAGAAAUAAACUCAGAUUUAUGAGAUAUAAACUCAGAAUUACGAGAU
ensembl:lncRNA